CUGGCUGGUGGUACAUUCUGCAGUGAUCAGCCUAUCUCGUAAGAGGGAGGGUUCCACAUAGCGCUGACGGGCACAAAGCCGUGAGAUCCAGCCGACACGGUUAGUGCUGAGAGGGGCUGGGCAUUCUCAGCUCCCACUGGUUUCUGAGCAAGAUGCUGGAACUCAGCCCUGCUCAGAAUAGGCCAAUUGUGAGGGAAGUGGAACAUUCCGCCGUAAGGGCAGCACCCUAGACAAACAGAGACCGAGACAAGCGGUGGAGGGAUUCCUGAUGUCAGCGUUCACAGGUGAGGGCUGCCUCUCACCCCAUCCAAAUCACAGCUCCUCUGUCAGAAGCUCAGAUUGUACCAAUUAAGAAGUAAGAUGAGAAGCUGACUGUUCCUUUCAAGAGGUAAGUGAUUCACGUCCUCAUAGCAAUGGAGUGGAAAUGAACUAAACUGACUGUACUUUCAGGUGAAGGAAGUGAAUCUAUCCUCUGCUGUUAAAGGUUGCUAGCAAGUUUUGUAAAACUAAAGCAAAGGAAAGCUGCUGAAAGGUUAGAGAAUUCUCUACUUGUUCUAGACAACGAUAAGGAAAGUGUUAUUUAUAACUACUUGAUUUUUAAACAAGAAAUUGGUUGUAUGGAGAGAAAAAAUAAACCAAUACAGCAGCUCUUCACCCAGAAGGUAUGCAUUUUACUCAAUGUAACAACAUUAAUCUAAUGACACACAAUUUACAUUUGUUGCCUGACAAAUAGGUCUUUUCAGCGGGUCAUGGAUGACAGGUGACUGCAGUUUACAAGAAGUUUACCUGAUCUAGCUAAUCCAUUAUUUUCAGGAGGUAAGAAAUACAACACACCUUCCCAUAACAGUUAAUGGCGCUGGUCAUAUUCUGAGGAAGAAAAAAAACCCCAGUAACUGAUGAAAUCUACAUCUCUCUAAAGAGCACAAAAAGUGGCUGUACUGAAUAAAACAAAAAUACCUGGGGGCUACCUAUCCAGCUGUAAGGACAGCAGAUGAGAUAAGUUGGUCCACUCCAAUUCUGCAGGAUUGAUCAUUGUUGCUUACUUAUGAAAGGUCAAGUAAAGAGAAGUGGAACUGAUCAUUACUAUCAAGAGGUAAGGAAUGCACCGCCUCAUGGCCCAGGGCCAGAAAUAAAAGGCUCCAUUUCUAUUUUCAGGUGAAAUGAAGGUCUUGCUGUUCCAGGCAGGAAGGUUAGAGGCUGCUGAAUUUAAGGAUAAAGUCAGACAAGUUACUAUGCCUGCCCAGAGGGUAGAAAAGCAACUUUUCCUUCUAGAUCAGAAAAAGAAAAGCAGCCAAUUUUGUUCUUCAAGUUUUAACCCAUGUAGCUGGCUAUACUUGUAAGAAUCAAAGCCAUGCGGCAAAACACCAUGACAAGUGGGUGAGCAUUGAAAAGUCACUAGAAUCCUAAUGAUCUGGUUGCUAAGGAACCAUCUCCAUCAAAGACUCUACAUAGGAGGUACUGAGUAAUAAUAAUAAAAUUCUCUCAAAUGUUGAUGAUUGCAGGCUUUCCUAAAUCGAGAUAUGAACAGACUAGGUGGCCAUUCCUACCAGGAAGAAGUGCGGGAAAGUGGCUGUCUUUGGCAAGAGGUAAGGAAGGUCUGACUCCAGAUAGCCAUGUGCACAUCAAACAGUGUUGAUUUUACUUUUAGGCAGAAAAAUUGCUUUUGACCUUACUUGUCAAGGGGAGAGUGUAUAAAGCAGACUCAGACUUAAAGCAGUAUGGAUAGACUUGCCAGCUGCCAAUCACUUGACGAAAUAACAGCACCUUGGAAUUGGAAUCUAGGAACAGAGGGUCAGUCACUUUGAAUGGUUUGGCUAGUUGCAAAUUUGAAUGUGAAGCAAGUCAGCAGCACAUCACAGACAGAGAUCGCAUGUGUCUGGAUGGAAGGAGAUGAGAGGACCAUUGUGUUCUAGAAGGGACUGAUGCAAUAGGAAUGAGCUGGACCAGGCCUAUCAAUUGCUCCUCUGUCAGAAGCUCACAUUGUUCCAAUUAAGAAGUAAGACGAGAAGCUGACUGUUCCUUUCAAGAGGUAAGUGAUUCACAUCCUGGUAGCAAUGGAGUGGAAACUAACUAAACUGACUGUACUUUCAGGUGAAGGAAGUGAAUCUAUCCUCUGCUGUCAAAGGCUGCUAGCAAGUUUUGUAAAACUAAAGCAAUGUACAGAACCAAAGCUGUUGAAAGGUUAGAGAAUUCUCUACUUGUUCUAGUCAACUAUAAGGAAAGUGUUAUUUAUAACUACUUGAUUUUAAACAAUAAACUGGUUGUAUGGAGAGAAAAAAUAAACCAAUACAGCAGCUCUUCACCCAGAAGGUAUGCAUUUUUCUCACUGUUUCAGAAUGCAGUUGGAAUGAACUGAACCAGGCAUAUCAAUUGGUAAGAAAAUCUCCCCAAAUGUAUUUUUUUUUAACAUUCAAGUGGAAAUGAUCCUCUCAUACUUUCUGAUUAGGGCAGUGCAGUUCCUACUAACAAUAAAGGUGAGAAAACUUCAGGAAGUUCCUAAAAGAUCUUUCACUGAAGCCCAGAGGUAAGCAACUCAUCUCAUAACAAUGGUAAAGGAGUUUAUGGAUUUGGGUUUCCUUUUCAGGUAACAGAAAUGCAGCUGAUCUGAUCUCACAGUGAUUGAAAGGUAUAUGCAGUUACAUUAUUAGGCAUAAAGGAAGACAUGGCCAAACCUGCAGAGAACAAAGAAAAGUUGGCUUUCAUGACUAAAAUGGGCAGACAAUGAAGGCAGUCACCAUCAUUUUUCAAUCCAAACAAUUCAGCAGAUGGUCAUUGACAAGAAAAUGAAGGAAACGCAGCCAGUGUGGACAUUGUUCAAGAAGCCAUGCUCAAAAGUUGCAUGGGGUACCUAUUGGGCCAAGAGGAACAGCUGUUUCCAUCUGCUAGGAUGCAUGCAGAAUUGACCUUCAUCAGACAAGAGGAAAGCACUGGAGACUGGCUAAUACUUGGACACAGAGUGGAGUAGGACAAGGUUUGUAACCAUAGUGACUAGUAGGUCCUUGCUCGUAUGCACAGGGUGAAACUGAUCGCCAUAUUUGGGGUCGGGAAGGAAUUUUCCUCCAGGGCAAAUUGGCCAAUGACUCUGGAGGUUUUUUGCCUUCCUCUGGGGCAUUGAGCAAGGGCCAGCCCUUUGGGCCAUUUAGAAACACACAAUAAAAUCCAUCAAAAAGAA